GACGAACGCUGGCGGCGUGCCUAAUACAUGCAAGUUGAGCGCUGAAGGUUGGUACUUGUACCGACUGGAUGAGCAGCGCACGGGUGAGUAACGCGUGGGGAAUCUGCCUUUGAGCGGGGGACAACAUUUGGAAACGAAUGCUAAUACCGCAUAAAAACUUUAAACACAAGUUUUAAGUUUGAAAGAUGCAAUUGCAUCACUCAAAGAUGAUCCCGCGUUGUAUUAGCUAGUUGGUGAGGUAAAGGCUCACCAAGGCGAUGAUACAUAGCCGACCUGAGAGGGUGAUCGGCCACAUUGGGACUGAGACACGGCCCAAACUCCUACGGGAGGCAGCAGUAGGGAAUCUUCGGCAAUGGACGAAAGUCUGACCGAGCAACGCCGAGUGGGUGAAGAAGGUUGUCGGAUCGUAAAACUCUGUUGGUAGAGAAGAACGUGGGUGAGAGUGGAAAGCUCAUCAAGUGACGGUAACUACUCAGAAAGGAACGGCUAACUACGUG
rnacentral:rRNA from 1 species